rnacentral:rRNA from 1 species
GACGAACGCUGGCGGCGUGCCUAAUACAUGCAAGUCGAACGCAGUGGGGACGGGUGAGGAACACGUGGGUAACCUCCCAUCAGAGGGGAUAACACUUGGAAACAGGUGCUAAACCGAUACUGAUGGAUGGGCCCGCGGUGGAGGAGCUAGUUGGCGAGGUAACGGAGCGCCAAGGCCACGAUGCAUAGCCGACCUGAGAGGGUGAGAGGGCAACCGGGCACUGAGACACGGCCCAGCCGCCUACGGGAGGCAGCAGGAGGGAAUCGUCGGCAAUGGACGAAAGUCUGACCGAGCGACGCCGCGUGAGUGAAGAAGGUUUUCGGGUCGUAAAACUCUGUUGUUAGAGAAGCGGUAUCUAACCAGAAAGCCACGGCUAACUACGUGCCAGCAGCCGCGGUAAUUC